rnacentral:rRNA from 1 species
CAGGCCUAACACAUGCAAGUCGAACGAUGCGUUCGGCCCUAGUGGCGCACGGGUGCGUAACGCGUGGGAAUCUGCCCUUAGGUUCGGAAUAACAGUUGGAAAUGACCGCUAAUACCGGAUGAUGACUUAAGUCCUCAGAUUUAUCGCCCAAGGAUGAGCCCGCGUACGAUUACCUACUGGGUGAGGUAGAUGCGUACCAAGGCGACGAUCCUUAGCUGGUCUGACAGGAUGAUCAGCCACACUGGGACUGAGACACGGCCCAGACUCCUACGGGAGGCAGCAGUGGGGAAUAUUGGACAAUGGGCGCAAACCUGAUCCAUCAAUGCCGCGUGAGUGAUGAAGGCCUUAGGGUUGUAAAGCUCUUUUACCCGGGAUGAUAAUGACUGUACCGGGAGAAUAAGCUCCGGCUAACUCCGUGCCAGCAGCCGCGGUAAU